rnacentral:misc_RNA from 1 species
AAAAAGUCCGAAUUUCCUCUAUGUUAAAUGUGGCGCUGGAAAAAUGAUGGUGUAAAUGGAUUUCAGGUAUUAAAAGGAAUUUCAACACCAAUGGACUAAUCAGUGGAAAUUUUAACAACACUAACACAUCAAGUUAUGGAGAAUUACACAAAAGGAGAGACGAGAGAGGUGGAGAUGGAGCCGUUGUUUGAAGUGGACCAGACCGGUGUGGACAUGAAGGUCAACGCUGGCAGCAAGAUCCGCAACCUGAUGGGCUACGCCAUGAAUAAGGUCAAGAAUCCCUCAGUGAAAAGAGUUGUGUGGAAUGGAUCUGGGAAAGCCAUCACAAAGACUGUCACCUGUGCAGAAAUCAUGAAGAGGAAAAUUAAGGUGGAUUUUUUUCAUAUUCCAUGGAAUUGUUUUUCUUUACAGUCUUUCACUGUAUUUCUUGUGAACAUUUAUUCUCAAUAAGAUUUUGAUUUUUUUCAAAGAUGAUUGAAUAUUUUUCUUGAAAUUUUCCGUGUUUUACCAUGUUGAGGAACAUUGCUUUGUAAUAUGGUAAUGUGAUUUCCAAUAAUACUGUAUCAUAUGAUCAAGAUAAUGGGGAGCAAAAUCUGAAUUAGAAUAUAAAAUUAGAUAUGACUAUUGAGUAUUGAUGUAUUAGUACCUACAUAUUUUUAUUUUCAUAGGGUCUUCAUCAAAUUACCAAACUUAGGAAUAGAAGAAUUGAAGAGUUCUGGGAACCUAAUGUUGAAGGAUUAGAAAGACUAAAAGUCAACAGAGAUAUUCCUGCCAUUUCUAUAUUAUUAUCCAAAGAUCCAUUAGAUGCCAGCACACCGGGGUAUCAGGCCCCUGGAUCUUUUGAGGAGUUUUGGAAAUCUGAACUGCAGCAACAAAAACCAGUGAAACGGAAACAUAAAAAGUAUUACACCAAGAAGGACAUGGAUAGUGCUAAAAAUAGAAACACUGAAACACAGAAGAGCUAACUGUUACAGCAGGGGGACAAAUUGAUAUUAAUUGUUUCAUAGUUAGCAUUAAACUGGAAUAUGAGAGAGGCAAAUAUCAGGGAAUAUGUGUUCAGACCAUGGAAAUUUAAGAGCAAUAAUGAUAAACCGAUAUCUUGAACUGUUUAUGGCAUAUGAAGGAUUUCUUUGUCAAUGUAAAUCCAGUUGAGUUGAAUGUUUACAGCAAUAGUUUGUUGAAUUAUAUAUGCAAACUGUACAUGAUUGUGUACAUUUAAACACUGCACAUUGGAUAUAGGCAUAUAGUUAUGUAAAUGAUUUUAAUUUUUGAACUUUGUUUUAAAGGUUGCAAAAAAUGGUUACAGUUAUGAAUAAGAAAUCAAUUUUAUGUAUGAAAGUAGAUACAUAUUUAGUAUAAGAUAUGUGUACAGCUACAUGUACAAGAACCACAAGUUUUUGGUGUUAUAUGUUGAGAAAAUAAAAUAACUUGACU